AUCUCAUAAAAAUGUUCAUAAGCAUGAUGAUUGGGUGUUCAUGCUCCGUGCAUGACAUGUGCCUCCUUUGAACCUUGUUACAACCUCGGCACAUUACCCAUCUGACA